UGGCUUAGUGCUAAAGAGUCUGCCUGCAAUGCAGGAGACUCAGGUUCAAUCCCUGG
rnacentral:tRNA from 1 species